GACUGCAUGACGGCAAAUCCCAACAGAAAGGCAAAAAAAAAAAGCCUUGUAAGUCUUGUAAGGGAGGUUAAGCAAGAAAAAAAAUAUCUUGUUUGGUGGACACAGUGUGGGCCAUUACAAAUGCCAAAAAGGCGUUAGUGGGUAUGUGGCGGACGCUGUGAAUGCUGCUGGCUCAGAAGGUAAAAAAGACGUGGUCCGACAUAAGUGGAGGCCAAAAGGCGCAUAGCCUUACACAGACAAAGUCUUUGUGCCACGAGCGGAGGAAAGGGGACACCGGAGCUCAACCCCCUUGAUGGGCGACUUGGCAGUAGUAUAGGGGAAUCCCACCUGAGUGGAGUAGCGACGGAGGACACGGACAUGCAGGACGCACCGGAUGAUCCGGUGUUCCAGCGGGGUCGGUGGUGCUGCAGCUGAGUGAGAGCUGAGUGCGCCCAGCCCUGGCGUCUCCACUGCACCUCGUGCGUCACAACCCUCCAGCGGCAGUGUCCUCACAGCAGUCCUGCGAACUCAGACACCAUCGACGCUAUUAACGAGGUUGCCAAGGAGUUGAAGUGGGACAGGCACGGCUUGGUUUCUGCGGGUGUAACCGAUGUGAAAUGGCUAGUUAGUUAGCGGGGUGCGCGCUAACAGCGUUUCAAUCGGUGACGUCACUAGCUCAGACCUUGAAGUAGUUGCAGAUGGUCCAUGGUUCGAGCCCAGGUUGGAGCGAGGAGAGGGACGGAAGCUAUACUGUUACAUGGGUGCUUCUCUGUAAAGCUGGGGCCCAGUACAGCACAGAGAUCCAAGAGAACAGCUCUUGGUAAUUGGAACCGGCUCAUAAGCCACUCAUCAUUGGCCAGUAAAUCUUCCAUUCGCCAAAUCUUCUAACCGUGCUAAUGCAGCCAUUGUGCGUCAUUACGCAUUGUAAUUGCAUACCUUUCUAUACCCACCCAUUUCAUUGUCAAAGCUACCCAAUUGCGUAACACCUUCAGGUGUGGUAAUUACCCAGAUUGUAACUGACAAUGACAGGGACAUUAUCACAUUGACAGUUCUGCGCAACGAACAUGUGACCGUAAUAUAUGAAACUGUGCACUCGUAUCUGCCCGACUGAAGCAUCAAAAACAGCAUCAGUUGAAACGUAAUUUGUCCUACUGUUCACCUUAUUAUUUAUGAGAAUACAUUUCAUAACAUGCAAGUAUGGUUUAAUAAUUACAGAGCCAAUUAAAUAUGAUUCCCGAUUAAACUGUACAACAUA